rnacentral:lncRNA from 1 species
AAACACUAACGAUGGCGGCGCCGGGAAGCGACCGGCUGCUGGGCUUAAGGCGGGAGUGACCGCUUAACCAGUGAGGGAAGCACUGAAGAGCGCCAGUCGACGUGGGUGCGACAACUCGCGGAGUCUUAGGAGCAAAACGUCUGGGGCCUGCGAGCCAGGACCCUUCUGAAGCCUUAGGUGUCUAUCGGCGACGUGUACGGUCACUGCAGCUCCGGAGCGCGGAACCCUCAGCCAGGAGGCGCGGCUGGUCGGUCCCAGGUCCCGGCCUCCGUAAUGAGAGCCCGGAACCACUCUUUGUGCCGCAGCUUCGCAGGGUUUUGCUUUGUCACCCAGGCUGGAGUGCAAUGACAUGAUCACAGCUCACUGCAGCCAUACCUCCUGGGUUCGAGUGAUCUUCCCACAUCAGCCUCCUGAGUAGCUGGGACUAUAGGCUGUGUCGUCCCAAAGAUACUAAGUAACAGGCAGAAUUGGAUAUGGCACAAAUUUCUGUUUAAAGAGAUGCGGUCUCGCUCUGUUGCCCAGGCUGUUGUGCAGUGGUAUUCACAGUCAUGA